ACUAGACUGUUAUGUUAUUGUCUAGUAACCACAAAACACAAGGACAGUGUAAUAUUGUCUACAAGUCGCAAAUAGACGGAGAUUGCCCUCUGUUGAUCAGAGUCGAAGAAGAAAAGUUGUGUGUAUCUUACUAUAACAACAUCAUGAUAGCUGAUACGUCACUUCAACAGAUUGUCAAUCAUCAGAGUCUUAAUUUCAACAACCCUUGUAAUGUACAAAUAGGUGAACACAACAUACAAAAUCAACUGACCAACCAACUAAAAGAAGAUGUCGACAAAAUUAAGAAUGAAAUGCAACAACUCAGGUUGGACAAUCUUCAACUACAAUCAGACAAACAGGGUCAAGCUGACAAGAUACAGAGCCAUGCUGACGUGAUACAGCAACUACAAUCAGAUAAACAACGUCAAGCUGACGAGAUACAACAGCUCCAAUCAGAUAAACAGCAUCAAGCUGACAAGAUACAGAGGCAAGCUGAAGACAUAAAGCUACUCAAGUCAAGGGUUGGAGUUGUGGAGAGUAAAAUGGCAGCCAAGACAACAGAUAAAAAUAUAAAUAAAGCAGAGGAUGAAAUGAUAACUCUUUUUGUCCCUGGUCUUGAGUAUGGUGAUAUCACUAUAGGUAUAAGCAGAUAUAAAUCCGUUAGUGAAGUAGAAGAGAUACUACUGGAGGAGUAUAUACGGAUGUAUGGUGUAGAUGAUGUUAAAAUUACUACUAUCUACAGUUUAAAACAGAAGAAAGACAUCUACGAGUACGACAUUGACAACAAAGAUCUACCAUUAUUAGAUUACGGUGCGAAUAAUGGUGAUAUAGUUAACUGGUGGGUGUUAUCUGCUUGAUUGUACUGUGUUAUAAUGGUAUUAAAAUCAAGCAUACUUACUAUAAAACAAUAAAACAUUCAACUUGAACAUGAUGGUGUUACAGGCCUAGUGAUGGGUUAAGUAACAAAUUAAUUAUAUUGUAUGUGUUGUGUAUAUAAUUAUAAUAAACAUUUACCAUUAACAUAUUAUGGCGGUGUUACUGGCCUAGUGAUGGGUUAAGUAACAGAUUAAUUCUAUUGUAUGUGUUGUGUAUAUAAUUAAAAAGU